CCCAGCACGACCAGGACACGUCAACCUUGCGGACACCCAUCCUCAGCCCCUGGGUGAAGAUGGAUGCAGAUGGGGAAAAUAAAAAGCUGCGCACACGCUCCAAAGGAACCAAGGUUCAAGUGGAC